rfam:Nomascus leucogenys chromosome 21, whole genome shotgun sequence.
GCCACAGCAUGGUAGCUUGUGCCUGUGGUCCAAACUACUCCAGAGGCUAAGGCAGGAGUAUCACUUGAGCCCAAGAUCUCUGGGCUGUAGUGCACUAUGCCAGUUGGUGUCCGUGCUGAAUCCAGCAUCAGUGUGGUUAUCUCCUGGUAGCAGGAACCACCAGGUUGCCUAAGGAGGGAUGAAUUGACCCAGAUCAGAAACAGAGCAGGUCAAACUCUUAUGCUGUUCAUAGUGGAACUGCACCCGUGAAUUAGCCACUGCACUCCAGCCUGGGCAAUGUAGUGAGACCCUGUCUCUU